rnacentral:lncRNA from 1 species
CUAACCCAGACCAGAGAUGAUGCAAAGGCAAAUCACACAGUCUCUGUAGGGCUGUGGGGUCUGCCCAGAACCCUGGAAAAGACUAGUGCCCUGAUAAGGUGAUUAUAUCUACAAAACAGUAACAUGGGAAAAUUUUUUGGGUAACAAAAAGUUCAAGAAUGCCCCAGUGUGAUUGCACAGCAUGAGCUGAAAACAAGCCUGGAGCAGAGCAGCAGAUCAAAAAAAGAUUUGAGUUCUCCCAGCAGUUUGCUAUCUCAGAUAAUCUUCUUCUAUGACGUUAAUUUCCUUGGGCAAAAGAUUAAGCACUUUUGACCGAAUUAUAGUGAUUUUAGUUUCUGCUGUCCUUGUAUAUUACUGCAAUUAUCUGUACAGUCUCUCAGCUGCCCUGCUGCCAUCAGAGAGUCCAAAAGGUUAAUAAUGGUUCAACUGAAAAUUGCUAGGUCUGUUAAGUGUGGGAAGUAUGUCAGUAGCCCAUAGAAUGAGCACCUCAGAUGUUUAUAUGGAAUUAAAAUCAUAGAUGUGCACAAACAACGUUUGGUCACCACUUAGCAGGGGCAUUUUGCAGUAAUUUUUAGAUGAAACUUCUGCUGUUUUUUUUUUUUUCCACAGGGUAAAUUCUCUUCCUCCAGCAGUCCAGUUAAUGGGCAAGGGAGCAUCUUAAAGGUUACGUGCUGCAUUACUGAAGAAAAAUGUGUCUAAACUGUGGACAAUGUGUGAUCAAACCAAGACAACAUUCAGACAUCCUAGCUACCGCCUGGGCUAAAUGGCACUGCACCAAUGGGUGCCUUCGCUCUCCCUGCAGUCAGUUCACAUGGUGAGCUCCACCCAGCUGCUCUUGCAACAUCUUAUUUUUGCUGUGACGUGGCAGGGAAUCAACCAUGUCUUCAGGAAUGCCCUUGAAAAUUUUCAAGAGAAGUAAGUAAAUCUAUGCUUUAAACACAUUACAUCACUGAAAUUGACUUGCAUGAUGAAGGAAGAGAAGGAGUGUGCAAAUGACUAGUAGAUGGUGAAGGACAGAGAAGAGGAGGCUGAUGUACAGCUCAUUCAGCCCCCGUGAGUCCCCUGGUUGUGAAGUGGAGGGCUGUGCUGCUCGUCAAGCUGAGGCUCAGAAACCUACACCUUAAACCUCCCUGUAGCCAACAGAGUUCCAGGGAGGUGGUGACAGUCAUGCGCGUGACAGACUUUUCCAGUCCCCCUUGUGUAAGCACAGGAAUACCAUGCUAUUAUCUCUAGGCCUGCACUGGAAAUACAGCAACAGCCCUUUCCC